rnacentral:rRNA from 1 species
CAUACUGGGAUUGAGAUACGGCCCAGACUCCUACGGGAGGCAGCAAAUCGGAAUAAUUGUCAAUGGGCGAAAGCCUGAACAUGCGACGCCGCGUGAGCGAUGACGGCCUUCGGGUUGUAAAGCUCUGCGUUAUGGGAAGAAAAACCAGUAAAUGAACAAUUUAUUGGCCUGACUGUACCAUAAUAGAAAGCCCCGGCUAACUUACGUGCCAGCAGCCGCGGUAAUACGUAGGGGGCAAGCGUUGUUCGGAAUCACUGGGCGUAAAGGGCGUACAGGUGGUUAUAUAAGUCAGAUGUGAAAUUCUCGAGCUUAACUUGGGACCUGCAUUUGAAACUGUAUAACUUGAGUUCAGGAGAGGAAAGUGGAAUAUGUAGUGUAGCGGUGAAAUGCGUAGAUAUUACAUAGAACACCGGUGGCGAAGGCGGCUUUCUGGCCUGAUACUGACACUGACGCGCGAAAGCUAGGGUAGCGAACGGGAUUAGAUACCCCGGUAGUCCUAGCUGUAAACGAUGGGUACUAAGUGUAGGAGGUAUCGACCCCUUCUGUGCUGUAGCUAACGCAUUAAGUACCCCGCCUAGGGACUACGGCCGCAAGGCUAAAACUUAAAGUAAUUGACGGGGGCCCGCACAAGCGGUGGAGCAUGUCGCUUAAUUCGAAGCAACGCGAAGAACCUUAUCCAGUGGCUUGACAUCCUCUGACAGCUGUGGAAACACAGUUUUCUCUUCGGAGACAGAGUGACAGGUGCUGCAUGGCAGUCGUCAGCUCGUGUCGUGAGAUGUUGGGUUAAGUCCCGCAACGAGCGCAACCCCUAUCUCUAGUUGCCAGCGUGUAAUGACGGGGACUCUAGAGAGACUGCCGACGAUAAGUCGGAGGAAGGUGGGGAUCACGUCAUGUCCUCAUGGCCCUUAUGCCCUGGGCUGCACACGUGCUACAAUGGCCGGUACAAAGGGUUGUCAAAACCGCAAGGUGGAACUAAUCCCAAAAAGCCGGUCCCAGUUGGGAUUGUAGUCUGCAACUCGACUACAUGAACCUGGAAUCGCUAGUAAUCGCGAAUCAGCAGGUCGCGGUGAAUACGUUCCCGGGCCUUGUACACACCGCCCGUCACACCACGAAAGUUGGUGGCAUUCGAAGCCAGUGAGCUAACCCUUUGGGGAGGCAGCUGUCGAAAAUGAAACCAAUGAUUGGGGUGAAGUCGAAACAAGGUA